rnacentral:rRNA from 1 species
UACGUAGGCAGCAAGCGUUGUUCGGAGUUACUGGGCGUAAAGAGCUCGUAGGCGGUCUGUCGCGUCGGCUGUGAAAUCCCGAGGCUCAACCUCGGGUCUGCAGUCGAUACGGGCAAACUAGAGUAUUGCAGGGGAGACUGGAAUUCCUGGUGUAGCGGUGAAAUGCGCAGAUAUCAGGAGGAACACCGGUGGCGAAGGCGGGUCUCUGGGCAAUAACUGACGCUGAGGAGCGAAAGCGUGGGGAGCGAACAGG